ACCCCCAAAUUCCCCAAAAACCCCCAAAUUCCCCAAAACCCUCCUUUUUUCCCCCAAAAUCACAGGGCUACCGCAAUUUCUACGACCGCUACCGGGGGGAUUACGACAGGUUCUAUGGCCGCGACUACGAGUACAACAGAUACCGGGAUUACUACCGGCAGUACAACCGCGAGUGGCAAAACUAUUACCAGGACAGAGAUCGAUACUACAGGAAUUACUACGGCUAUCAGGGCUAUCGGUGAAGUCCCAAAAUCGGCCGAUUUUCACCCAAAAAAAAAGAAAAAAAAAAAAAAAAAAA